rnacentral:lncRNA from 1 species
CUGACUGCAGGUGAGUGAGCGCACGGGGGUGGGGAGGGUCCGACUGGACACCCACCUUCUUCACGGUCGAGUGAGGACGGACCAUCCCAAACUCCUCGGGCUUUCUAUUCCGUAACAGUCUUUCCUAAAUCUUUAACACUCCCUGCCCACCCCAAACGCUCCAGAAAGAACCACCAACUUGUGUCCUGUGACCCCCUGGUAUGCCAGUGUGGCUGGAAGGGCCUGAGGAGAGGGUGGAGGGAAGGAACCUUCUAGAAGGAAGAGCUUACCACAGACAGAACACCCAGACAGACCACAAGGCAGAAAGUCUCCCUUUGCUCUUUUUCGCACACAGCGGUCCCGGAGCCUCCUCUGGACUAGCCCCUCGCCCGAGGGAGCCCUCCCCGAGGUGACCGCAGGCUGGUCACUGAGGCCGUCCCGGUAUCAGCCUCCUCAUCUGGAGAAUGGGGAUGACCCCCACCUCUCGAAUCAAGUGACACGUGGACGGUAAACUGCUGGGGGCCUGCGCUGUGGCGGAGGGGGGGUUGGGUUUGCCCCCAGCUCCCGCCUGUGGGCCGCUGCCCACCCUCAGGGCUCACGUCCUCGCUCUGACGCUGGCUGUGUGGCGGGCCCCAUGUGGACACCGAUUCCCCAGCCAGCGUCACGCACACGUCUCCCGCCGCCUCCCCGUGAACAUCCGUGUGGCCCAGUGUCCACCCGCCCUGUGAAUUCCCUGGACACACGUGUCCCCUUAUUUCUCUCCGGGCAGCAGAACCAGAAAUUGAAAUCCACACACCCCGCGUGCAUGCACCCCACUGUCAGAGGGACCCUGGGCCAGCCGCCAUGCCACUCGCUGCCUCAGUUUCCUUCUCGGAAAUGGGUGGAGAUCCAGGCUUCUCUCCUCACGCUUCUGGAGGCUGGGAGUCUGAGAUCCAGGCUGGCUCCCCAGAGGCCUCUCUGCCUGGCGUGUUGACGGCCAUCACUCCCCGUGUCCUCACAUGGCCGGCCCUCUGCAUGUCUGUGUCCUACUCUCCUUACAAGGACAUUUGUUGCACUGGAUCAGGACUCACCCACGUGACCUCAUUAUCACCUCCGUAAAGUCCCCAUCUCCAAACACGGUCACGUUCUGAGAUGCUGGGGGUGAGGGCUUCGCAUAUGGGUUUGCGGGGACACGGUUCGGCCAUGACACCUUGGGUGGCUGUUACUUCGGGGAAGGAGGGCGUAAAAGCCGAGAUCCGAAGCACCGUGGCCACAAGACCCGGGACUUCAGAGUCCUUCUUGCGGAGCUCCCCUCCUCCACUCGCCCUGCCCGGCAGCCGGCCCCCUCCUGCACGGGUCCCCACGGAGGGCCUGCACCCUGCGCGGAGUGACGGGCUGAGCAUGUGCGACCGCAGCCUCCUUGGGCAGUUCUGGAGUUCGUGCUCACAAACCGUCAUCCCGCGUCCUGUCAUCCACGUGAUAUUCUCCACGGGAAUAGACCCGCCUGCCUCAAAGGCUUCAGUUACUGCAACUGGCAAGCGAGCAUCUCUGGAAACAACAUUUGUUCGCUCCGUAGGACUGGAGGAGAGCUGCGGCUUGCGCUUUUCUCCUUGGGAUGAUUUUUAAAGAAUUUCAACUGCAAUGACGUUGCAAGAUGAAAAACGUGUUUUUCACCGGCUCUUGAGCUCUGUCUGGUCCUAGGGCUCCAGCAUCAGUUUUGAGGCAGUCCACAGGGUAUGCCUGCUGGAGAUGGGACUCCAUCCGUCCUUGGGGUGAAGGACGCGUCCACC